AACGUACGCUGGCGGCACGCCUAACACAUGCAAGUCGAACGAAGUAGCAAUACUUAGUGGCAGACGGGUGAGUAACAUGUAGGUAUCUGCCCUUUGGCCUGGAAUAACACGAGGAAACUUGUGCUAAUACCGGAUAAGUCUUUACGGAGAAAGCUUUAUGCACCAUUGGAUGAGCCUGCACUUGAUUAGUUUGUUGGUGGGGUAAUGGCCUACCAAGACUGUGAUCAAUAGCUGAUUUGAGAGGAUGAUCAGCCACAUUGGGACUGAGACACGGCCCAAACUCCUACGGGAGGCAGCAGUGGGGAAUCUUGCACAAUGGAGGAAACUCUGAUGCAGCGAUGCCGCGUGAGUGAAGAAGGCCCUUGGGUUGUAAAGCUCUUUCGUCGGGGAAGAAAAUGACUGUACCCGAAUAAGAAGGUCCGGCUAACUUCGUGCCAGCAGCCGCGGUAAUACGAAGGGACCUAGCGUAGUUCGGAAUUACUGGGCUUAAAGAGUUCGUAGGUGGUUGAAAAAGUUAGUGGUGAAAUCCCAGAGCUUAACUCUGGAACUGCCAUUAAAACUUUUCAGCUAGAGUAUGAUAGAGGAAAGCAGAAUUUCUAGUGUAGAGGUGAAAUUCGUAGAUAUUAGAAAGAAUACCAAUUGCGAAGGCAGCUUUCUGGAUCAUUACUGACACUGAGGAACGAAAGCAUGGGUAGCGAAGAGGAUUAGAUACCCUCGUAGUCCAUGCCGUAAACGAUGUGUGUUAGACGUUGGAAAUUUAUUUUCAGUGUCGCAGGGAAACCGAUAAACACACCGCCUGGGGAGUACGACCGCAAGGUUAAAACUCAAAUGAAUUGACGGGGACCCGCACAAGUAGUGGAGCAUGUGGUUUAAUUCGAAGAUACGCGCAGAACCUUACCAACACUUGACAUGUUCGUCGCGACUCUAAGAGAUUAGAGUUUUCGGUUCGGCCGGACGAAACACAGGUGCUGCAUGGCUGUCGUCAGCUCGUGUCGUGAGAUGUUGGGUUAAGUCCCGCAACGAGCGCAACCCUCACUUUUAGUUGCCAUCAUUAGGUUGGGCACUCUGAAAGAACUGCCAGUGAUAAGCUGGAGGAAGGUGGGGAUGACGUCAAGUCCUCAUGGCCCUUACGUGUUGGGCUACACACGUGCUACAAUGGUAUCUACAACAGGAAGCAAGACUGCGAAGUUAAGCAAAUCCCUAAAAGAUACCUCAGUUCGGAUUGCACUCUGCAACUCGAGUGCAUGAAGCUGGAAUUACUAGUAAUCGUGGAUCAGCGUGCCACGGUGAAUGCGUUCCCGGGUCU
rnacentral:rRNA from 1 species